GAGGUGUUAGCUUAAUUAAAGCAUUUGAAUUGCAAUCAGAAGAUGUAGGUUAAAGUUUUACACGCCUUAA
rnacentral:tRNA from 1 species